rnacentral:tRNA from 1 species
UCCCCGGUAGUUUAUGUUGGUAAAACGCCUGACUCUGACUCAGGAGUGCUUGGAUCGUCACCAGGCUGGGGAGC